rnacentral:rRNA from 1 species
AGACCCGAAACCCGGUGAUCUAGCCAUGGGCAGGUUGAAGGUUGGGUAACACUAACUGGAGGACCGAACCGACUAAUGUUGAAAAAUUAGCGGAUGACCUGUGGCUGGGGGUGAAAGGCCAAUCAAACCGGGAGAUAGCUGGUUCUCCCCGAAAGCUAUUUAGGUAGCGCCUCGUGAAUUCAUCUCCGGGGGUAGAGCACUGUUUCGGCUAGGGGGCCAUCCCGGCUUACCAACCCGAUGCAAACUGCGAAUACCGGAGAAUGUUAUCACGGGAGACACACGGCGGGUGCUAACGUCCGUCGUGAAGAGGGAAACAACCCAGACCGCCAGCUAAGGUCCCAAAGUCAUGGUUAAGUGGGAAACGAUGUGGGAAGGCCCAGACAGCCAGGAUGUUGGCUUAGAAGCAGCCAUCAUUUAAAGAAAGCGUAAUAGCUCACUGGUCGAGUCGGCCUGCGCGGAAGAUGUAACGGGGCUAAACCAUGCACCGAAGCUGCGGCAGCGACACUAUGUGUUGUUGGGUAGGGGAGCGUUCUGUAAGCCUGUGAAGGUGUGUCGUGAGGCAUGCUGGAGGUAUCAGAAGUGCGAAUGCUGACAUAAGUAACGAUAAAGCGGGUGAAAAGCCCGCUCGCCGGAAGACCAAGGGUUCCUGUCCAACGUUAAUCGGGGCAGGGUGAGUCGACCCCUAAGGCGAGGCCGAAAGGCGUAGUCGAUGGGAAACGGGUUAAUAUUCCCGUACUUGGUGUUACUGCGAAGGGGGGACGGAGAAGGCUAUGUUGGCCGGGCGACGGUUGUCCCGGUUUAAGCGUGUAGGUGUGUGUUCCAGGUAAAUCCGGUUCACUUUAACACUGAGGCGUGACGACGAGGCACUACGGUGCUGAAGCAACAAAUGCCCUGCUUCCAGGAAAAGCCUCUAAGCAUCAGGUAACAUCAAAUCGUACCCCAAACCGACACAGGUGGUCAGGUAGAGAAUACCAAGGCGCUUGAGAGAACUCGGGUGAAGGAACUAGGCAAAAUGGUGCCGUAACUUCGGGAGAAGGCACGCUGACAC